rnacentral:rRNA from 1 species
UACAGAGGUCUCAAGCGUUGUUCGGAUUGACUGGGCGUAAAGGGCGUGUAGGCGGUCGGCCAAGUCUGAUGUGAAAGCCCGAGGCUCAGCCUCGGAAGUGCGUCGGGAACUAGUCGGCUGGAGCGCGAUAGAGGAGGGUGGAAUUCCUGGUGUAGCGGUGAAAUGCGUAGAUAUCAGGAGGAACACCGGCGGCGAAGGCGGCCCUCUGGAUCGUUGCUGACGCUGAGACGCGAAAGCGUGGGUAGCAAACAGG